CCUACGGUAGGCAGCAGUGGGGAAUAUUGCACAAUGGGCGAAAGCCUGAUGCAGCAACGCCGCGUGAGCGAUGAAGGCCUUCGGGUCGUAAAGCUCUGUCCUCAAGGAAGAUAAUGACGGUACUUGAAGAGGAAGCCCCGGCUAACUACGUGCCAGCAGCCGCGGUAUUACGUAGGGGGCUAGAGUUAUCCGGAUUUACUGUGCGUAAAGUGUGCGUAGGGUGUUUCUUAAGUCAGAGGUGAAAGGCUACGGCUCAACCGUAGUAAGCGUUUGAAACUGGGAAACUUGAGUGCAGGAGAGGAGAGUGGAAUUCCUAGUGUAGCGGUGAAAUGCGUAGAUAUUAGGAGGAACACCAGGUGCGAAGGCGGCUCUCUGGACCGUAACUGACACUGAGGCACGAAAGCGUGGGGAGCAAACAGGAUUAGAUACCCUAGUAGUC
rnacentral:rRNA from 1 species